CACAUACAGUACUAUAUAUGUACUUAAAAAUAGUUUAGGAAGCUUAAUUUCUUACGAUUGGUCACUCCGUCCUGAAGAAAGCUUGCACAAUUGAAAACCUAGUCAAUAUCAAAGUCUAGCAAGGGAGGCGCAAAUGAGAAAGCCAAUCGAGAUGCAUGGAAGGGAACUUGUAAAUGAAGGGAGCUGCAGCAGAGUGGUUCUGUGAAAAAGAACUCAUAUAUCUCACUAUCUCUGAGACAAUGGUCAGCAUACCAUAGAUUUAAGGGCAUUAGCGGUGACUGCCUCCAGGAGCUACAUAUUAUCCCCAAAAAGCAAAGAGCUGUGAGGCAGUGCAGUGAAAACUUCGAAAGCGUGCAAAGUAGAAAGGAAACAAGGGGAGGUCCUUGAAUCAAAGAACAUAUCCCCAGGAAAAGUCACUAAAAACUUACAUGGUUUUAAUGAAGGAAUUGUCUGGGUGGUAGUGAAAUAUUAAAACAAUACAGGAAUCAUCACUUUUGAAGGUACCAUCCCCUGUGACACGUUACUUAACGUGCCCUUGGGAACAAGAGUUACAUAUCAUUUCAGCAUAUAUGGUGCAGCUGCUGUACUUUAUCUGAAUUAUGGACAUGCAUCAACCAGCAAGAUUUCCUAUAGGAUUUCAAGUGGAAUUUCCUGUAGGAAGAUGGCAAGCAGAAGUUUGAUGUACAGUGUGGCAAGAUGCAGUUUUUUUUCCUCAGUGGAUAACUUCUCAGAAGGAAACUACAGAGAGAAUAGAUUAAUGUUGAAAUCCUAGAUUUCUUAAUGGUGUUACACUUCUGUGGGAUGUUCAUCAUGCAGCUGUUCUGCAUCAUUGCAUGAUGUUUUAAUUACUGUGCAGCACUUUUAAUGGGACAACAUUUGUUUUCCAUCCCAUUGUUGUGGAUAAACAUUUUUGUGCCUUGUGUCAUUUAAUAGAACUUCAUAUUGAACAGCAAACUGAAGGCAAUAUUUCUCUGGAGUCAUAUAUUGUAAUUUAUGAGUUACAAUGGGAUCUUUAAUGGGUGGGUCUCAGUAAACAGACACACAAACACAGUGGUGAAGUAUACAUUCACUUACAGUGCAGGGAAUAUAAAACAAACCAAAAACCUCCUGUUUGAACUGAUACCUUGAUGUCUUCACAGUCUCUUACUGUCAUUCUUCUGGCAGAUAAUUUGCUAACCGGCAUCUAAAAUAGCAAAAAUCCAGUCUCUCUGCAGUUCCUCUCCUACACACUUUCAAAAUGUCCUUGAAAAGUUUAUUUGUCCCUCGGUCGGAUGCUUCCUUCUGCCUUAUCUCUCUCAAGGUGAUCCACAGAGGACCUGUCUUCUGUCACCUUUUUAAACUGAGCCUUCAUCCCUCACAUCCCUCAUGUAAUAAUGUCAUCACCAUCAUCAACAGCCUUAAUUUCUUCAGUACUGGAUGAUUACCCCCUAAGGUUCUGACUUUGGGUAUUCUCAUCUGGUCUGCUCCUGCAAAUGUACAGAUUUCAUAAUGUUUCUCACCUAUAGUAAGUACAGGGAUCUUGUCGAUCAUGUUUUAGUUUAUUCUUUCACUAGUCCAAUGGUGAUCCAUGUGGUGGCCUUGCGCCAUUGCCAUUAUAGCCUUUUUCUUCGUACAGUGAUGGGAUAUACUCGUAUUUGAGAUGCAUCCCAAUCUUGUGUUUUUGUUAUUUCAAAUAUACAGUACACCUUUCCUUGCUACUUUAAGUCAUUAGUUUCCACAUCAAUA